rnacentral:lncRNA from 1 species
CCCUAGCAAUCUGUCUGCAAGCCGCAGGCGAAUUGCAGCCUGAAAUUACCUGUUCUAUGGCUGAAUGAGCUGCGGUCAGUCAAAAACAGGUGUGGUGACGUCAGUUUACCAACAUGGUGGCUGCUGGCCUCCUCUGUGGUCUGACCGGUGUGGAGAACCGAGAUGGACCGCUUCCUUCCCCCGUCUCGAACCCAGAAUUCAGCCCUGAGUACGGUGCUUGCACGGCUGGCAGAAACUGCAGCGCUGUAUCCCUGCGUCGCUAUCUCCUCGUUUCCCAGCGCGCGCUGCAGACUCUAGCCGCGGGGCGAUUUGCUGAAUAAGCAGUGUUACCCUCCGUGCGACAAACCUCUCGCGUUUGAGUCCCCGUAGCCGAUCCUCGUGCGAUGGAAAUCCUUCCUCCAGGUUCCGGAGCACCCCACUAUUGCUGGAAAUUCCUAACAAGAUAUCCUUUAGCCGUCCUGACUUGUCAUACUCCCACACAGUGAAGCAGCACACGGGGGCAAUGCACUCCCCUCGCCGCCAUCUUCCUCUCCCCCCUAAAGUCAUCUUAUUUUCAAGAAGCAAUUUCUAGCCAUCAGAAAUAGGCUCUCCACUAUAGGGGGUAUUCAGACAGAGGCUGGGCAGCUGCUGGGAUGUUGUAGAGACAGCUUAACAUUGGCUGGGCUGUUUCAUGCUUUUGGCUCAAAUAUCUCCUGGGUCUUCUCUGUUCUAUGUUUUGUAGAGCUAUGAAAAGAGAGUCUUCUACAGACACUGACUUCUUCUACAGACACUGACUUUGUAGACAAGCCAGUGAAGACCAGGCAGAUGAAAUGACAGUGGGACCAAAUUUAAAAAUGUGCCUUUUAAGGUGCAUAUUGUAUUUCAGGUACUCAUGACACAUUAUCUAAACCUGCAUAGCUGUGUAAAAUUCUUAUUGCUCAUCCCCAUUUUUAGACCAAACAAGGUUCAAAGAGAUGAGGUACCCUAUUGAAGGGUAUGCUGGAGACCAAACCUAGGCCUACUUGCUCCUGUGCCCACUGUUCUCCAUAAGCUGCUCUCCUGUCCCUAAGUCUCCUGCCCCUGGGAAAUGAUUUAUUUCUACAUCUCUCUGCCCAGCUAGUUUAUGCAAACUCUUAAGAAGAAGGCCUGUACAUUUUUGAUAUUGGAUAUUCAGCAUUUUGCAGUGUUGGUUGAAUGAAAUAUAUGUAUGUAUAGAUGCCCAAAACAAUCUGUCUGGCAGCUUUUCCCCCUAUUUUUGUAAUUUAAAUAUCCUUCACCCUGAAAAGUCUUUACAGGGUUGUCAACCAUACAGAACAAAUAAAUAGAAGUUAAAAAUAGUUUGAAGAACUCAGUGUAAAAUGUAAUGCUUCCAGUGAUUGCUAGCGUCAGUGUCUCUGAAGGUUUUCAUCCAUUGAUUUAGAGUGAGGGUCGCUGCCUCAAGAGUGUACUUGUCUUCAAGAGGUAGGUGUAAAAACUAGCAAUGGAGAACCAACAGUGUCUCUUUCUGGUUGACCAGGCAAGUCAGUGGAGGCAUGUGUCAGGAUCUGCAGGAGCCCCAGGUGUGUGUAUGGACAGGAGGUGUCAUGUUCUUGAAUGAAAUGAAAAGAAAGCACUUGCAUAAUGAGUUGUGUGCUUUUCUUCAGCUCUCUGGGCCUUCAUUCUUUGACACCAGGAAGUACCAUGUUAAUUUGUAUUAGGAAGGCAAAGGUGCUCAAUGGGGAGAACUAGGAACCCAUUCCAUGUUUAGGACACCAUCACCAGAUGGUGUUAAAUACAUAUCAUAUAUAAACUUGUUAAUGUGUCUCAGCUGAAGGCUUGUGAGUGGGUUAAAGAAGAGUAAAACAUUCCAAAGCAAUUUCAAAGAACAACUCAAGUUAUUUCCAAAUACAUACAAUAAAGCAACUGUCCUGAUGAGGAGGGAGCCAGUCCUCACUAUGGCCAGAGUAGAUACAAAUGACUCACAGGGAAGUCAUUUUCUUCCCUUAUUCAUAGUAGGGAAGAAAAUGACUACUACCCAUCUGGGGCUGGAAAGUCUUCACAUGCUUCCUUUCUCCAGAAUAGAAAAGCUGGUGAGGUUUAUUCCUUUUUAUACAACAACUACCACUCCUGCUACAGAAGCAAAUGUUAAGGUUGAAGUUGCAAAUGAUCACAGUUCUAAAUUACCAGGUUUGUCUACAGAAAAAUUUGCUAUUGUAACCCUCCUGAUUUUCCAAGAUUGGAUUAAAUAACUUAAUGGCUUCAGGCAAAAAUGAUCUACCUCUUGUAUGACAUUGAUGUUUUCACAACAAAAUAAUCUAGUGUUCUCUGGAAGCCUUCCAUGACUCAGUAGGUGCCUGAACCUGUAAUUCUAAACUUUUGUCCUUGAGACUCAUUGCAUUGUUAUGUUGGUUUAAUGCCCACCCCCAUUCACUUUCAUUUAGUUUUAGGGUUUUUGUUUUUUGAGAUAGGGUCCCAUUUUCUUGCUCAGGUUGGUCUUGAAUUUGUGGACUCAAGUGAUGCUCUUGCAUUAGCUUCCCAAGUACCUGG